rnacentral:rRNA from 1 species
UACAGAGGGUGCUAGCGUUGUUCGGAAUCAUUGGGCGUAAAGGGCGUGUAGGCGGUUUGUUAAGUCAUGUGUGAAAUCCCUCGGCUCAACCGAGGAAAGACGCACGAAACUGGCAGCUAGAGUACCGAAGAGGAGAGUGGAAUUCCUGGUGUAGCGGUGAAAUGCGCAGAUAUCAGGAAGAACACCUAUGGCGAAGGCAGCUCUCUGGGACGGUACUGACGCUGAGACGCGAAAGCGUGGGGAGCGAACAGG